GACGAACGCUGGCGGCGUGCUUAACACAUGCAAGUCGAACGGAAAGGCCCCUUUGGGGGUACUCGAGUGGCGAACGGGUGAGUAACACGUGAGUAACCUGCCCUUGACUUCGGGAUAACUUCAGGAAACUGGGGCUAAUACCGGAUAGGAAUCCUUGCUGCAUGGUGGGGGUUGGAAAGCUUCGGCGGUUUUGGAUGGACUCGCGGCUUAUCAGCUUGUUGGUGGGGUAGUGGCUUACCAAGGCUUUGACGGGUAGCCGGCCUGAGAGGGCGACCGGCCACAUUGGGACUGAGAUACGGCCCAGACUCCUACGGGAGGCAGAAGUGGGGAAUAUUGCACAAUGGGCGGAAGCCUGAUGCAGCAACGCGGCGUGCGGGAUGACGGCCUUCGGGUUGUAAACCGCUUUCAGCAGGGGCGAAGCUUGUGGUGACGGUACCUGCAGAAGAAGCACCGGCUAACUACGUG
rnacentral:rRNA from 1 species